UACGUAGGGUGCAAGCGUUGUCCGGAAUUAUUGGGCGUAAAGAGCUCGUAGGCGGUUUGUCGCGUCGACUGUGAAAACCCGAGGCUUAACCUCGGGCCUGCAGUCGAUACGGGCAGACUAGAGUUCGGUAGGGGAGACUGGAAUUCCUGGUGUAGCGGUGAAAUGCGCAGAUAUCAGGAGGAACACCGGUGGCGAAGGCGGGUCUCUGGGCAUUACCUGACGCUGAGGAGCGAAAGUGUGGGGAGCGAACAGG
rnacentral:rRNA from 1 species